CCUGAGGGAACUCUUUAAGGUUCGGACAAUCUGAUAAGUACAAGAAUCGAAGAGCACCAAGUUGAGCUAUGCUUCGAGGCAAAUGCUCAAAGUUAUUUCCAUCAAGAUGCAAUUUUUUCAACGAGGAUAAGGAUCCAAUGUCUUCCGGAAGUCCUCCAUCUAUUAGAUUGCAGUAACUGAGAUCUAGAUGUUCCAAUGACCGUAACCCUUCAUCCACUUGAGGGAACACAAAGUUCACUCCAUCUACGAAACCUCCUCCAGAAUUUCGUUUUGCAAAACUCAAAAAUUUAAGCUUGUUCAACUGGACAAUGGAAAAUGGAGGUUGUGA
rnacentral:misc_RNA from 1 species